rnacentral:rRNA from 1 species
UACGAAGGGGGCUAGCGUUGCUCGGAAUCACUGGGCGUAAAGGGCGCGUAGGCGGCCAUUCAAGUCAGAGGUGAAAGCCCAAGGCUCAACCUUGGAACUGCCUUUGAUACUGUUUGGCUUGAGACCGGUAGAGGUAAGUGGAACUGCGAGUGUAGAGGUGAAAUUCGUAGAUAUUCGCAAGAACACCAGUGGCGAAGGCGGCUCACUGGACUGGUAUUGACGCUGAGGUGCGAAAGCGUGGGGAGCAAACAGGG